CAACUGGGAGCACACAUGAAAAUUGAGGAAUGGCUCCCAUUUGGCCACAUGGAGAACACCGCUGACUGCAACCAAGGCUGUUUGAACGUAAUGGCAAGGUUCAGGAUUGAAUGGAAGACAAAACGCUGACCUCAUUCCACUCGACCCAGCUUUGGAACCCAGAGGCUAUAAAGGGAGAGGUUUGUUCACCUUAAUAAAAUUCUCAUCUGUGCUUACUGCUGAUGUAAUGUGAAAAAGACAGAUUCUUCAACUUAACAAGAAGGAUAAACUGUUCCUUCUGCUGGUCUUAAAAGUAGUAAGUAGGGCUCAUGGAAUAUGGGCGAACAAAUGAGGACACAGUGGGCAGAUCCACUAUCAGGCCCUUGAAAUUAACCCCAAAGCAGUGGCGGAAGAGGAAUAGAUGCGGAUCUGGUACAGCAUCAUGCCAAGGCCAUUACAUUCUUGGCCCUUAGAAAAAGCAAGAAAACAGGUAAACGCUCUGCUUUUAAGCCAAGCUUGGUAAUCCCGGCGAACUUCGAGAGCCAAAAGCAAAUAGCUUUGAAACAACAUUGAAGCUAUUUGCUUCCCCAUCGAGGUCCUGAUCAUCCAUGUGGCUGCAGGUUACAGAUUCACAUCAGCCUUCAUAUGUCAUUGCUGAAACCUCCUUGUAAACAAUGGCAUAGUCCUCAAUUAAUGCAAAUUAAAUCACA